rnacentral:rRNA from 1 species
UCCGUAGGCGGGUAAUUAAGUCAGAGGUGAAAUCCCACAGCUUAACUGUGGAACUGCCUUAGAUACUGGUUAUCUUGAGUUUUAGUGAAGUAGAUAGAAUGUGUAGUGUAGCGGUGAAAUGCGUAGAUAUUACACAGAAUACCGAUUGCGAAGGCAGUCUACUAACUAACAACUGACGCUAAUGGACGAAAGCGUGGGGAGCGAACAGGAUUAGAUACCCUGGUAGUCC